UUUAUUCAAUAUUCUCCCCUCUAGUCCUCUUAAAGGUCGUAAUUUUAGAAUACUACGAUGCCGAUUUCUAUCUAUUAGGCUACUUUACAUUUACAUCUGAUAUCACGAAAAUUAUGGAUACCGAUCACAAAAGGCACUGUUCUUUGAAAUCGUUGAUAUGAUUUUGUUUUGUUGCUAUAUUCAGGUCACCAGCAGAAGAGCAACCUAGAAGGCUCACCUGGGAUCUGAUCGGUUUAAGACAUUAGAACUCUGUACGUUUACACAAAGAAGCAAUAAAGAUCAAUCGUUGGCCAAUCAUAUUAAAGUUUCUUCUAAAUUUUAUCUUCAUUUCAUUCGUGAGCUUUCAUUAUUACAACAAAUUGGUAUCAGAUCUGGAUCGAUUGAUUUUUUGUAAGGAUCUUUGGCUGCGUUUUCUUAUGGAUCGAUUGAAUAGGGUGAAGAAUUUUUUGGGUGACAAUUCAAUAACGGUUUUCGAUAUAAAGAUCUUGGGUGUGCGAUUUCUCUGUGCAUUUUCGAUCUUUAAAAAGGUAUAAAGCCAAUCUCAUCUCACUUUGCUUCUUUGAAUUCUUUUAAUGUUUUUUUGGGUGUCGAACGAAAGUGGCGUCUCUUAAAACACUCUCCCUCUUUAAGUAUUGUCAACUAGGUACCAAUUAAAUUACCAAUUAUAACGACCAAAACAGGAAAUCAACCAAGAAUUCGCUUGAUAAAUAUUCAAACAUAAAAAAGAAUGUGGUAUUUAAGUGGCAGAAAUCUAGCCAAGUAUUGUCAACUUGGUACCAAUUAUAAGUAAGUGGUUAUUAAAAUGACAAAUGACCAUAUAUAACAUCGCUAUGGAAUGCAAAAAGCUAAGCGAAGAAUAGAAAUUAAGAGUCUUUUACCAUAAUGUUUGGAAUUAUGGCACUCAAGUUGUUUCCUUUUAAAAAAUUAGCAUACCAAUGUGCAGAUAGCUUAGGAUAUCGAGUCAACUCCUUGUCAGCCAUGUCAACAUAGUACAGACCAUAAGCAGAAGCAUAGCCUCCAAUCACCUCAUAGAGAUCGAGGAAAGACCAAACAAAAUAUCCUCUUGUGUUUGAUCCAUUCCUAGUAUAACACAAGAAUUAAGAAAAAUGAUAUAUAUAUAUAUAUAUAUAUAUAUAUAUAUAUAUGAGGAUUAAAUAAUGAUCUAUAAAGCUCUCUAAAAAGAUUUUGAUUUAUUAGAAUGGAGUAGAAACUAGCAUCAUAUAUACCUUAGUGCAUCCAACAAAGCACCAAUAUAGGCAUGCAAGUACUCUACCCUUGGGGUGUCCAUCAAUGUUGCAUUUCGUGGUUGUGCUUGGCCUAUAAAGAAAAAAAAAAAAUCAUAUUUUAGGAUGUAGGUGACACAAAGAUAAACAUAUAAGUAAGAUGCAAUAGGAAUUUCAUAAGUAAUUUACCAUUUUCAUGGAUGUAGAUAGGAGGAUUUCCAUAUUCUUCCUUCAUAUAGUUAAGGAGACUUUGGAGACCCAAUGGAACCACCGGGAACUGAUCAGAUUAAAAAUAAAAAAAAUAAAACAUGAAACUCAGUCCAAUUGGAAAGGAAUAAUUAAUGUUUAAUAAUAAUAAUAAUAAGAAAAGAGAAACAACAAAUGAUCAAAAUGUUUAAACCUGAGCUGGAAAUUCAUUUCCAGUGCCGACUGCAGAAAUGUAAAUUAACAUCAUGUCAGUAUUAGUUUAUAUAGUGAUUGAUGUUUUAAGUGUCGAAUUUUUUCAAGAGGAAAACAUGUGAGGAAGUUAAAGGCAACUCUAUCUAGCAUGAAGAUUCAAGAUUUAGAGUGAAGUCAAUAUUCAUACAUGUAUAUGUUACUCCCAUGUCUGCAUCGAAAUCCCUGGUAUCCAUUUCAAGACUAAUGGAGUUGUCCUUCACAUAUAAUGUGGUAUAGUGGUUCAUGCCUAAGAAGUCAAAUGAACCCUUCAUUCUCUGUGAUUCAAAUCUUGUAAAAGUUGGAAUUCGGUUCCCUGCAUUCUUCUUCAUUAUUUCUGGGUAGUCCCCAUUCACCAAGGGAUUUAAAAACCUGAAAUAGGAACCAUAAAAACAAAGAUCAAAUGAAAGUUGAGUUUAAUGCAAUUACAAAAAGCAAUAUAUGACUCUUGGUGUUUCUAAUAAUAUCAAUAUUGGUAAAAAGGUUAGCAUUUGUGUUCACUCACCAACCCAAAUAGAAAUCACGGGCUCUUUGGGUAGCUUUAACAUCUUCCGUUUUGUUUGUAUAAGGUUCAAACCAAAAGCCCAACAGAUUUAAUCCAAUAAAACCAU
rnacentral:lncRNA from 1 species